rnacentral:rRNA from 1 species
UACGAAGGGGGCUAGCGUUGCUCGGAAUCACUGGGCGUAAAGGGUGCGUAGGCGGGUCUUUAAGUCAGGGGUGAAAUCCUGGAGCUCAACUCCAGAACUGCCUUUGAUACUGAAGAUCUUGAGUUCGGGAGAGGUGAGUGGAACUGCGAGUGUAGAGGUGAAAUUCGUAGAUAUUCGCAAGAACACCAGUGGCGAAGGCGGCUCACUGGCCCGAUACUGACGCUGAGGCACGAAAGCGUGGGGAGCAAACAGGAUUAGAUGA